GAGUUUGAUCUUGGCUCAGAUUGAACGCUGGCGGCAUGCCUUACACAUGCAAGUCGAACGGUAACAGGUCUUCGGAUGCUGACGAGUGGCGAACGGGUGAGUAAUACAUCGGAACGUGCCCGAUCGUGGGGGGAUAACGGAGCGAAAGCUUUGCUAAUACCGCAUACGAUCUACGGAUGAAAGCAGGGGACCGCAAGGCCUUGCGCGGACGGAGCGGCCGAUGGCAGAUUAGGUAGUUGGUGGGAUAAAAGCUUACCAAGCCGACGAUCUGUAGCUGGUCUGAGAGGACGACCAGCCACACUGGGACUGAGACACGGCCCAGACUCCUACGGGAGGCAGCAGUGGGGAAUUUUGGACAAUGGGCGAAAGCCUGAUCCAGCCAUGCCGCGUGCAGGAUGAAGGCC
rnacentral:rRNA from 1 species